GAUAGCCCUAGUGUCGAUGGUUCUUGCGGCACAUAAAUCUUGUGCCCGGGAUGAAAAGGGAACGUGGUGCGGCCAGGCUUUGCAGCCCAGCCAAGUCCACGACUGCCCCCGCAACUGUAAGCGGCGAGCGCUUCGGGUGAACCACUGGCACAGGCAUCAACGCCCUGCCGGGAAGGACCGAAACCGCAUCGACCCGCAAGUCAGGAGACCUGCCAUCACGAAUGAAACUCG
rnacentral:ncRNA from 2 species